rnacentral:lncRNA from 1 species
AAAUUUCCACUACUCAAGUCGUUAUUUGUAAUAAAUUGUCCAGUGAUGGAAACUUUCUCACAUGGAGUGUUGGAUGCAGCAAAGCUCGUAGAAGUACGAGUAACACAUAAAUAUGAAUUUGAAUGGAAUGGUGACCUUAAUACUACUAUAAAAAAAAUGAGUACCAGAAAAGGUAAUAUCAACUGAAUCAAUUAUCUCCAAUCACGAUUCAAAUGUUAUGGCUUGCAUUCUCACAUUGUUGAUGUUUUUUUCUUGUUCAUGAAUAUCCAGAACUCUGAGGAUGAUUGAUUUUGUCCUCAAAAAUUGAAUGAAGGCUCAAGUAGAUAAUUCGUCGCAACCACUUGGUAAUUCAAAAUCUGCACAUUAGGCUUUUUAUAUGUUCCUUCUUAAUUAUUCAUUUAUAUUUUACAUUCUUCGAUAUUUUGGUGUUAGUUUCAUUGAGAUACAUUAUCCUUUUUGCUUUUGUCAUUUUGACAACUGUUCUUGUUAUUUUCUACAGGGUGUAUCCAUAUGUUUUAGGUAUGAGGCUAAUCGGCUAGUCCUUAAUGUCACAAAGCGUUUACAACCAUCAUGAUGUAUCGGUUUAAUGACUUUUCUAUGAUAAUGACUUCUGUAUCUUGUUUUUCUGUUGUUUGCAAAACUAAUCUCUACUAAAUUUCCUUCUCCUCAGUUAAUAUUGGUGCUGAAUGUUUGAUUUAGUGUGUAUGUUUAUGAG